GAUGAACGCUGGCGGCGUGCCUAAUACAUGCAAGUCGAGCGAACGGACGAGAAGCUUGCUUCUCUGAUGUUAGCGGCGGACGGGUGAGUAACACGUGGAUAACCUACCUAUAAGACUGGGAUAACUUCGGGAAACCGGAGCUAAUACCGGAUAAUAUUUUGAACCGCAUGGUUCAAAAGUGAAAGACGGUCUUGCUGUCACUUAUAGAUGGAUCCGCGCUGCAUUAGCUAGUUGGUAAGGUAACGGCUUACCAAGGCAACGAUGCAUAGCCGACCUGAGAGGGUGAUCGGCCACACUGGAACUGAGACACGGUCCAGACUCCUACGGGAGGCAGCAGUAGGGAAUCUUCCGCAAUGGGCGAAAGCCUGACGGAGCAACGCCGCGUGAGUGAUGAAGGUCUUCGGAUCGUAAAACUCUGUUAUUAGGGAAGAACAUAUGUGUAAGUAACUGUGCACAUCUUGACGGUACCUAAUCAGAAAGCCACGGCUAACUACGUGCCAGCAGCCGCGGUAAUACGUAGGUGGCAAGCGUUAUCCGGAAUUAUUGGGCGUAAAGCGCGCGUAGGCGGUUUUUUAAGUCUGAUGUGAAAGCCCACGGCUCAACCGUGGAGGGUCAUUGGAAACUGGAAAACUUGAGUGCAGAAGAGGAAAGUGGAAUUCCAUGUGUGGCGGUGAAAUGCGCAGAGAUAUGGAGGAACACCAGUGGCGAAGGCGACUUUCUGGUCUGUAACUGACGCUGAUGUGCGAAAGCGUGGGGAUCAAACAGGAUUAGAUACCCUGGUAGUCCACGCCGUAAACGAUGAGUGCUAAGUGUUAGGGGGUUUCCGCCCCUUAGUGCUGCAGCUAACGCAUUAAGCACUCCGCCUGGGGAGUACGACCGCAAGGUUGAAACUCAAAGGAAUUGACGGGGACCCGCACAAGCGGUGGAGCAUGUGGUUUAAUUCGAAGCAACGCGAAGAACCUUACCAAAUCUUGACAUCCUUUGACAACUCUAGAGAUAGAGCUUUCCCCUUCGGGGGACAAAGUGACAGGUGGUGCAUGGUUGUCGUCAGCUCGUGUCGUGAGAUGUUGGGUUAAGUCCCGCAACGAGCGCAACCCUUAAGCUUAGUUGCCAUCAUUAAGUUGGGCACUCUAAGUUGACUGCCGGUGACAAACCGGAGGAAGGUGGGGAUGACGUCAAAUCAUCAUGCCCCUUAUGAUUUGGGCUACACACGUGCUACAAUGGACAAUACAAAGGGCAGCGAAACCGCGAGGUCAAGCAAAUCCCAUAAAGUUGUUCUCAGUUCGGAUUGUAGUCUGCAACUCGACUACAUGAAGCUGGAAUCGCUAGUAAUCGUAGAUCAGCAUGCUACGGUGAAUACGUUCCCGGGUCU
rnacentral:rRNA from 1 species